rnacentral:rRNA from 1 species
GAUGAACGCUGGCGGCGCGCCUAACACAUGCAAGUCGAACGAUUAAAGCACCUUCGGGUGUGUAUAAAGUGGCGAACGGCUGAGUAACACGUGGGCAACCUGCCCCUUUCAUUGGGAUAGCCACGGGAAACCGUGGAUAAUACCGAAUACUUCGAGACUUCCGCAUGGAAGACUCGAGAAAGCUCCGGCGGAGAGGGAUGGGCCCGCGGCCUGUUAGCUUGUUGGUGGGGUAACGGCCUACCAAGGCAAUGAUGGGUAGCUGGGUUGAGAGACCGACCAGCCAGAUUGGGACUGAGACACGGCCCAGACUCCUACGAGAGGCAGCAGUGGGGAAUCUUGCACAAUGGGCGAAAGCCUGAUGCAGCGACGCCGCGUGCGGGAUGAAGGCCUUCGGGUUGUAAACCGCUUUCAGCAGGGACGAGGCGAAAGUGACGGUACCUGCAGAAGAAGCCCCGGCUAACUACGUG